rnacentral:rRNA from 1 species
AUGAACGCUGGCGGCGUGCCUAAUACCUGCAAGUCGAGCGCACGGACGAGAAGCUUGCUUCUCUGAUGUUAGCGGCGGACGGGUAAGUAACACGUGGAUAACCUACCUAUAAGACUGGGAUAACUUCGGGAAACCGGAGCUAAUACCGGAUAAUAUUUUGAACCGCAUGGUUCAAAAGUGAAAGACGGUCUUGCUGUCACUUAUAGAUGGAUCCGCGCUGCAUUAGCUAGUUGGUAAGGUAACGGCUUACCAAGGCAACGAUGCAUAGCCGACCUGAGAGGGUGAUCGGCCACACUGGAACUGAGACACGGUCCAGACUCCUACGGGAGGCAGCAGUAGGGAAUCUUCCGCAAUGGGCGAAAGCCUGACGGAGCAACGCCGCGUGAGUGAUGAAGAUCUUCGGAUCGUAAAACUCUGUUAUUAGGGAAGAACAUAUGUGUAAGUAACUGUGCACAUCUUGACGGUACCUAAUCAGAAAGCCACGGCUAACUACGUG